rnacentral:lncRNA from 1 species
CUGAGGAGGCAAGAACUGAAGUUGUUGCAGACCCACUUGGAUACACCGCUAGUAACUCAGGAGAUGUGAUCUCACUGUGUUGCCCAGGCUGAUCUCAAAUUCCUGGCCUCCAGCUAUCCUCCUGUCUUGACCUCCCAAAGUGUUGGGUUUACAGCAACUUGCAACAGAUAGCACUGAGUCUAUAUGAAAGUUUUCAGCAAGUGAUCCACCAAAGUGAGUACACCAAGCCGUCUUGUAGGAUUACACAUGAAUCGUAUAUGUGAGGCACUCUAUACCUUCUUCUUUUUUUUUUACCAAAGUCACCUUCAUAAUGGAUGAUAACACAGAACAAGGCAUAACAAGUACUGUUUUUAAAGGAGUUACAUUCAAAUGAGGGAAGAUGUACAAUGAAAACAUG